rnacentral:rRNA from 1 species
UACAGAGGGGGCAAGCGUUAUUCGGAAUCACUGGGCUUAAAGGGCGCGUAGGCGGUCCAUCAAGUCAGGGGUGAAAUCCUGCAGCUUAACUGUAGAAGUGCCUUUGAUACUGAUGGUCUGGAGGGAGAUAGGGGUGUGUGGAACUUCCAGUGGAGCGGUGAAAUGCGUUGAUAUUGGAAGGAACGCCGGAGGCGAAAGCGACGCACUGGAUCUCUACUGACGCUGAGGCGCGAAAGCCAGGGGAGCAAACGGG